UGAUCAUCAUUAUCAUUUUCAUUAUCAUCAUUAUCAGAAGAAGAAUUAGUCCUCUUGAUGGGAAUAAAUUCCUCAAGCACAGGUCUAGUUCCUUCACUCAUCGUUUGCUCCGAGCACUCUGAUUGCCCAUGCAUGUACUCCGUCGUCGUACCCGAUAACUCCCUCCUACAAGCCUCGAUCGCUUGCGUGACAAGCUCUAAACACAAAGGAAGCUCGCGUUGAAAAACUUGAAUCUUACGCUUUUCUUCCUCUAAUGCCUCCACAUAUUCAUGGCACCGCUGCAUCUUCUCUGCAUAAUCCAUUUUGUCCCCUUGUUACUGCUAAUGAUGAUGGUGAUGGUGAUAUAGCCGUUGAUGAUGAAGCAGAUUAUAUGAUGAAGUGGGUUUUGGUGGUCUAAGCAUAGAUAGAUCCGAACCAACGAGAGGGAAAUUAAAGGAGAGGAGAAUAUGGGAUCUAAAUAGAAUCAGAAAACGGAAUCAACUUAAAGACAACCCAAACCAAACUAUGCCCAAACAAAAAAAAAAAAAAAAAAAA
rnacentral:misc_RNA from 1 species